AAAUAAGAACACUUGUCACUGAUAAAUCUUUCAUCCAUUGAAGAAAAAAAAAAAACUCCAAAGAGUAGUAGAAAAAGAAGCAAAAGGAGAGAAAGAGAGAAGUAAACCCUAGUUUUGCCCCCCCACCCACCCAUCGGAAAUCACCACCACUGUAGCUCGCCGGCUGCUUUUCCGGUCAGGCGGUGUAUCUGUCUGCGCAAAUUCUGCCUGUUGUGUUGUGCUACUUCACGGAAUCUCAAAAGAUGACAAAGGGAGCGGCGAUGUCGUCUUCUGCCGUGUCGGUUCGUGAUAAUGCAAUCAAUUUGGAAGUUUGUGAAAUAAUGAUCCGUUCAGAAGGUGAAUCUCUCAAUAAGUUGGAUGAUGAUGCACUCAUUCAAAUUCUUUGCUGUUUACCCCUUAAAGAUGCGGCAAGAACGAGUGUCCUCUCACGUAGAUGGAGGUACUUAUGGCGCCGUUCACUCAUGUACCCGUUGAAUCCUAUGUAAAUUUCCAUCAAGACUGAAUGCAAGUACUGUGACCAGUAAAUGAAUCUUGAAAUGAUGUUUAUAGAACAAAAGUUGUGAAGAUCAUAGAAAAGGAUGUAAAGAAAAUCAAAGAGAAGGCAGAGGAAGAUAGUAAAGUUACCUUUAGCUAAGACAUUUUGGAUACUUUUUGCUGUGUUUUGGUUCAUAGCAAAGAUGUUCUUUUUUCUUUUCUUCACCCCACCCCCACCCCCUUUAAACUUAAUGUGACAUUUUGGUGUAUGGAAUUGCAUGAAAUAUAAUCAGAAGUGUUCAUCCAA